rnacentral:rRNA from 1 species
UACGUAGGGUGCAAGCGUUAAUCGGAAUUACUGGGCGUAAAGCGUACGCAGGCGGCUUUGCAAGACAGGUGUGAAAUCCCCGGGCCUAACCUGGGAACUGCAUUUGUGACUGCAUAGCUAGAGUUUGUCAGAGGGGGGUGGAAUUCCACGUGUAGCAGUGAAAUGCGUAGAGAUGUGGAAGAACACCGAUGGCGAAGGCAGCCCCCUGGGAUGUGACUGACGCUCAUGUACGAAAGCGUGGGGAGCAAACAGG